rnacentral:rRNA from 1 species
GACGAACGCUGGCGGCGUGCUUAACACAUGCAAGUCGAACGGAAAGGCCCUGCUUUUGUGGGGUGCUCGAGUGGCGAACGGGUGAGUAACACGUGAGUAACCUGCCCUUGACUUUGGGAUAACUUCAGGAAACUGGGGCUAAUACCGGAUAGGAGCUCCUGCUGCAUGGUGGGGGUUGGAAAGUUUCGGCGGUUGGGGAUGGACUCGCGGCUUAUCAGCUUGUUGGUGGGGUAGUGGCUUACCAAGGCUUUGACGGGUAGCCGGCCUGAGAGGGUGACCGGCCACAUUGGGACUGAGAUGCGGCCCAGACUCCUACGGGAGGCAGCAGUGGGGAAUAUUGCACAAUGGGCGGAAGCCUGAUGCAGCAACGCCGCGUGCGGGAUGACGGCCUUCGGGUUGUAAACCGCUUUCGCCUGUGACGAAGCGUGAGUGACGGUAAUGGGUAAGGAAGCACCGGCUAACUACGUG